GGAAGGUAAAAGUCGUAACAAGGUCUCCGUUGGUGAACCAGCGGAGGGAUCAUUAAAGAGUUGCAAAACUCCCACAUACCAUUGUGAACGUACCCCGUAUCGUUGCUUCGGCGGUUGGCCUCUGGGCCUCUGCUCCGCUUGCGGGGCGCCUGCCGGAGGACACCUUAACUAUUGUUUAUUACCGGUCUCUCUGAGUAACUUACAAAUAAGUCAAAACUUUCAACAACGGAUCUCUUGGUUCUG
rnacentral:misc_RNA from 1 species